rnacentral:lncRNA from 1 species
AACCACUACCUUACCCGUUUCUGAAGCAGAAAUGCUGAAUGAAACCACCUCACCGUCUUCUUCUACACCUUCAUCCCCACCAUACUACAUUCUCUCAUCAGACACUGUACCCUCUGACCCCCAAUCCCCCAAACUAGCCCAACUUCAGGCGCAUGCUUUUGCCUCACAAUAACCACCACAACCUGAACCAGAAGCCACCUCUCCAUCCUCUGAACAACAAAAUCCACCACCAUCUGAACAACCUCAAACACCACCUCCUGAACAACCAACAAAAAAAUCACCUUAUGAACAACCAGCAACUCCACCCUCUGAACAACAACCCACACCACCACCUUCACAAAUAACAAC